rnacentral:rRNA from 1 species
GACGUAGGGCGCGAGCGUUGUCCGGAUUUAUUGGGCGUAAAGAGCUCGUAGGCGGCUUGUCGCGUCGGACUGUGAAAACCCGCGGCUCAACUGCGGGCCUGCAGCCGAUACGGGCAGGCUCGAGUUCGGUAGGGGAGACUGGAAUUCCGUGGUGAGCGGUGAAAUGCGCAGAUAUCAGGAGGAACACCGAGUGGCGAAGGCAGGUCUCUGGGCCGAUACUGACGCUGAGGAGCGAAAGCGUGGGGAGCGAACAGG